CCUACGGGAGGCAGCAGUGAGGAAUAUUGGUCAAUGGGCGGAAGCCUGAACCAGCCAAGUAGCGUGCAGGAUGACGGCCCUACGGGUUGUAAACUGCUUUUAUACGGGAAUAACGCGCCUUACGUGUAGGGCUUUGCAUGUACCGUUUGAAUAAGGACCGGCUAAUUCCGUUCCAGCAGCCGCGGUAAUCCGGAAGGUCCGGGCGUUAUCCGGAUUUAUUGGGUUUAACGGGAGCGUAGGCCGCAUGUCAAGCGUGCUGUGAAAUUUCCGGGCUCAACCCGGGCCGUGCAGCGCGAACUGGCGUGCUGGAGUCCACGGGAAGCAGGCGGAAUUCGUGGUGUAGCGGUGAAAUGCUUAGAUAUGACGAAGAACCCCGAUGGCGAAGGCAGCUUGCUGCAGCGGAACUGACGCUGAUGCUCGAAAGCGCGGGUAGCGAACAGGAUUAGAUACCCCAGUAGUC
rnacentral:rRNA from 1 species